AUUGAACGCUGGCGGCAGGCCUAACACAUGCAAGUCGAACGAGUGGCGGACGGGUGAGUAAUGUAUGGGAAAGUGCCUGAUGGAGGGGGAUAACUACUGGAAACGGUAGCUAAUACCGCAUACCAUCAGAUGUGCCCAGAUGGGAUUAGCUUGUUGGUGGGGUAACGGCUCACCAAGGCGACGAUCCCUAGCUGGUCUGAGAGGAGGACCAGCCACACUGGAACUGAGACACGGUCCAGACUCCUACGGGAGGCAGCAGUGGGGAAUAUUGCACAAUGGGCGCAAGCCUGAUCCAGCCAUGCCGCGUGUAUGAUGAAGGCCUUCGGGUUGUAAAGUACUUUCGGCGGAGAGGCGGUACCUGCAGAAGAAGCACCGGCUAACUCCGUGCCAGCCGCCGCGGUAAUAC
rnacentral:rRNA from 1 species